UACGGAGGGUGCAAGCGUUAAUCGGAAUUACUGGGCGUAAAGCGCGCGCAGGCGGUCUGUUAAGUCAGAUGUGAAAUCCCCCGGCUUAACCUGGGAACUGCAUUUGAAACUGGCAAGCUUGAGUCUCGUAGAGGGGGGUAGAAUUCCAGGUGUAGCGGUGAAAUGCGUAGAGAUCUGGAGGAAUACCAGUGGCGAAGGCGGCCCCCUGGACAAAGACUGACGCUCAGGUGCGAAAGCGUGGGGAGCAAACAGG
rnacentral:rRNA from 1 species